AGCUGAAUACCUCAGCUCAUGUCCCCGCCCCUCACCCAACCACAGUAUAAAAAAAUGCCCACCUCCCUGUCGGCGUGAAUCCACAUGCCCUGUCUUUGGGGGUACGUGUGUCUCCCGGGGACGCAGAAUAAACUUUCCUUCCUUUCUUCCUUCU